rnacentral:ncRNA from 1 species
CUAUGACAUUAUUUUGUCAUGGCGGAAGGAG